rnacentral:rRNA from 1 species
ACGCUGGCGGCAGGCUUAACACAUGCAAGUCGAACGGUAACAGGAAUUAGCUUGCUAAUUUGCUGACGAGUGGCGGACGGGUGAGUAAUGCUUGGGAAUCUGGCUUAUGGAGGGGGAUAACUACGGGAAACUGUAGCUAAUACCGCGUAAAAUCUUCGGAUUAAAGGGUGGGACUUUCGAGCCACCUGCCAUAAGAUGAGCCCAAGUGGGAUUAGGUAGUUGGUUAGGUAAAGGCUGACCAAGCCGACGAUCUCUAGCUGGUCUGAGAGGAUGACCAGCCACACUGGAACUGAGACACGGUCCAGACUCCUACGGGAGGCAGCAGUGGGGAAUAUUGCGCAAUGGGGGGAACCCUGAUGCAGCCAUGCCGCGUGAAUGAAGAAGGCCUUCGGGUUGUAAAGUUCUUUCGGUGACGAGGAAGGUUGAUAGGUUAAUAGCCUAUCAAAUUGACGUUAACCACAGAAGAAGCACCGGCUAACUCCGUGCCAGCAGCCGCGGUAAUACGGGGGGUGCGAGCGUUAAUCGGAAUAACUGGGCGUAAAGGGCACGCAGGCGGUGACUUAAGUGAGAUGUGAAAGCCCCGAGCUUAACUUGGGAAUUGCAUUUCAUACUGGGUCGCUAGAGUACUUUAGGGAGGGGUAGAAUUCCACGUGUAGCGGUGAAAUCCGUAGAGAUGUGGAGGAAUACCGAAGGCGAAGGCAGCCCCUUGGGAAUGUACUGGCGCUCAUGUGCGAAAGCGUGGGGAGCAAACAGGAUUAGAUACCCUGGUAGUCCACGCUGUAAACGAUGUCGAUUUGGGGAUUGGGCUUUGAGCUUGGUGCCCGUAGCUAACGUGAUAAAUCGACCGCCUGGGGAGUACGGCCGCAAGGUUAAAACUCAAAUGAAUUGACGGGGGCCCGCACAAGCGGUGGAGCAUGUGGUUUAAUUCG